rfam:Daucus carota subsp. sativus cultivar DH1 chromosome 1, whole genome shotgun sequence.
AUGGAAGUGAUGAAUAUUUCCCCAGAUGAUCGAAGCUGAAAUUACUGAGCGCUAUUUUGAUUCUCUCUUCGGAGAUUUUCCAAGCCAGAAUUCUGAUCCGU